UACGUAGGGGGCUAGCGUUGUCCGGAAUCAUUGGGCGUAAAGAGCGUGUAGGCGGCCCGGUAAGUCCGCUGUAAAAGUCAAAGGCUCAACCUUUGAAUGUCAGUGGAUACUGCCGGGCUAGAGUCCGGAAGAGGCGAGUGGAACUCCUGGUGUAGCGGUGGAAUGCGCAGAUAUCAGGAAGAACACCAACGGCGAAGGCAGCUCGCUAGGACGGUACUGACGCUGAGAAGCGAAAGCAUGGGGAGCGAACAGG
rnacentral:rRNA from 1 species